GGGGUCAACACCUGGUUAUUUACUGUUCGUUUAUAAUUGUUUACUAACCGUGUAUUAUGGUAAUUUCAUGGUAUAUUACGGUAGAUGUAGGUAGUUAAAUAGUUUUGGGUAAAAGAAGUAGCGCGUGAAAUCAGUCAAGUAGAACAAUAUCAUGCGAAUCGUUCACUUUCCACGCAGAGUUGAUAGCUUGAGCAGCAGCUUAGAGUAUUUUAGUUUUUAUUGAAAUUACUAAUGAUAGAAGGCACAUUCCAGUAUGUAGUAAAAGAUACAGCACAGAUGCACAGUAACAGCUCGGAGAGCGAUUGUGGGUGUAAGCACAGAUGUGAGACAGAUAUAUGCAUUGUUGAAGGUCACUGAUAUCAUUACAUCACUGACCAAGACUACAAUACUACGAUAGAAUCAAUACAGAUAUAAAACUGAACCGGAGUUGUUGUCUAUUACAUCACUCAAGAGGUCACAAUACUGACUAUGAA
rnacentral:lncRNA from 1 species